CACCUCUCAGGGUUGCAUCUAGAGAGUUCCCAGUACUCUACCAGUUUCAACUCUGGGAGGGAGAGCCAAGCAGAGGGAUACCCAUUCCAUUCCUAGCUUGGGCAAUGGCUAACAAGUGGAAGGCAAUCUGCUACAAGU